rnacentral:tRNA from 1 species
GGGGCCGUGGAGGUAAUUGGCAACCUCACUAGGGUUGACACCUGGCAUUACGGGUUCGAAUCCCGUCGGCUCCACCA